rnacentral:rRNA from 1 species
ACUGAGUGGCGGACGGGUGAGUAACGCGUGGGCAACCUGCCCCAUACAGGGGGAUAACAGCCGGAAACGGCUGCUAAAACCGCAUAAGCGCACAAGGGCCGCAUGGCCUGGUGUGAAAAACUCCGGUGGUAUGGGAUGGGCCCGCGUCUGAUUAGCUAGUUGGCGGGGGAGAGGCCCACCAAGGCGACGAUCAGUAGCCGACCUGAGAGGGUGGCCGGCCACAUUGGGACUGAGACACGGCCCAAACUCCUACGGAAGGCAGCAG